GAUGAAUGCUGGCGGCGUGCUUAACACACGCAAGUCGAGCGGUAAGGCCCUUUUAGGGUACACGAGCGGCGGACGGCUGAGUAACGCGUGGGAACAUGCCCUCAAGUGAGGAAUAAGCUCCAGAAAUGGAGUCUAAUGCCGCAUAUGAUCUUCGGAUUAAAGGAUUUAUCCGCUUUAGGAGUGGCCUGCGUACGAUUAGCUUGUUGGUGAGGUAAUGGCUCACCAAGGCGACGAUCGGUAACUGGUCUGAGAGGAUGAUCAGUCACACUGGAACUGAGACACGGUCCAGACUCCUACGGGAGGCAGCAGUGGGGAAUAUUGGACAAUGGGCGAAAGCCUGAUCCAGCCAUGCCGCGUGUGUGAAGAAGGUCUUCGGAUUGUAAAGCACUUUAAGUUGGGAGGAAGGGCAGUAAGUUAAUACCUUGCUGUUUUGACGUUACCGACAGAAUAAGCACCGGCUAACUCUGUGCCAGCCGCCGCAGUAA
rnacentral:rRNA from 1 species